CUGGAGCCCCACUGGUAAAGCAGAGGUGUGAACUGGAACAGUCUACUCACAAAGCACCCUAGAACCCAAAAACGGAGCAGGGAGGAGCUGCCUUACCUCCUGUGUCUCAGCAAAGCAGCAUCCUUGCAAUCCAGCUCAAGGUCAAGCCAGGUACCCUACCUCCUCCUCAGUGUUCUGGACACAAAGUAGGUCAUUAAUGAUGACUGCUCAGCUGGGCUUCUGCUGCCGGACAAUGUCCCAGAAGGGCUGGCUGCUCAUGGUCUCCAAGGAGCCAUGCCUGCAAAAAGCCAAGGGGAAAGUGGUUUAAAUCACUACCUUCAGAUCUACUUUUUGCUAAAUUCCCUUGUGUGCAGGAAAUUGCUCAGGUGUUACUGAGUUUUUCUCCUCCAUUGAUAGAAAAGCAACCACAAUGUAAACAGCAUGGCAGAUCACCAAAGAGGUCUGUGGAGUCACUUUAUUCUGGAGGCCUUCAAACAAGAUUUUUCCCAUCCUCUGUGUUAGGUCUACUCAGUGUGGUGAGGAGAUCGAAGAUGUUCAUUAGUGCUAUUCUUUUUUUCUCCAUGAACAUAUUCUUAAGAUCUCAUCGUCUUCAUAAAAGAAGAAGAAGAAGAAGAAGAAGAAGAAGAAGAAGAAGAAGAAGAAGAAGAAGAAGAAGAAGAAGAAGAAACAAGGGCCGAAUCAGUUUCUCCUUCUGUCUCGUCCUAGUUCAGAAUAUAUCUUUUAAAAGUUAGCAUUCCUAGUGCUGCAGUUAUUGUCAACACAGACAAACCUCCAGUGCAAUCCUCUUUGUGCACUCAGAUUUUUUUAAAAAAAAAUAGGCUUUGUCAUUCAUUGUAGCCACUCUGCAUUCUGCUUGUGGCUUGUAUACAGGGAACCCCCAUCCUUCUUGUACUGUGCCCUGAAGUCAGCUAGUGUUUGCCACACAAUACAGGAUGUCCAGUGAGAUCAAGAAAGGUUCACAUUGGCCAUCAGUCUGUUUUUGUUUCAAGUCUGCUGGGGAAAAAAAUGCACAGUGAACCAAGUAAUGUCUCUAGUACCCUUCCAUAACACGGCUGAAGGUCUGUGGCUAUAUCUAUGCCAUAGAACCUAACAGAUUGGUGGACUGAGAAUGUCAUACUCAAGUGUGAACAACAUGUCGGUGGAAGUUUGCAUUUCUAAUUCCAUUUUACUGAUGUCAUAUAUGCAGACCCUAGGUGACUUUUUACCAAGUUUGUGGAGCAUUCUCAUUUUGUUUUGUUGCAGUCCUAGGGAUUGAACCCAGGGCCUCACUCUGACACUGAGCUGUGUGACCAGCCCUAGUUAUGUAGUCUCUCAUGCAAGAACAGACAUGCCUUCCAUUGUAACGCUGGCUGCUCUCUUAUUGUCUCCUUCACCGAGUAGCUAGGCAGCCUGGGACAAUUCUUUACCCUCAUCCAGUCUCAGAUUCCCCCGUCUGCACCCGAGGUACCAUACUGCCUGUUCCUGACAGCACUUAUGAGGAUAGGGGUGAGGGACUACAGUGCAUAAAGGAUUUUAUAUCAGAUUCUGCAUGGUUUUAUACAUAUGGUAGAACUGGGAAGGGACUCAUCACAGCAACAAAUCACUCGACAAAAGCAGUUGGAAGAGGGAAAGAUUUCUUUGGGCUCACACUUCCACUGUACCACCAGUCAUCACAACCAGGAAAUCAUGGCUGCAGAUAUGUGAGGAGUCACAUUGCAUCCACAAUCAGGAAGCAGAGAGAGAUGAAGGUCAGUGUUCAUCUGACUCUCUCCUUUAUAUUCCAUUUAGAACUUCAGCUUAUGGCUGCCCACAGUUAAGGCAGGUGUGUGUGUGUGUGGGGGGGCUCUCACCUUAAUUAACCUAAUCUAGAAGCUCCCUCACAGACAUGCCUAGAAGUUUGAUUCCUAGGUUUUUCUAACUCCUGUUGAGCCAAUCAUCAAUAUUAACCAUCACACUCUCUUGCCUUCAUUAUUGCCUCAAUUAAGUCCAAAUACAACCAAAGUCAAAACCAUAAUUUUCAUUGCUAAAAUCCAGACAUUGACUGGUACCACAUCUCAGUGGUAAAACACUUGCUUUGCAUGUGCAAAGCUCAGGGUUCAAGACCCAGUACUAGGAAAAAAGAAAAAAGGAAAAGACUUAUCAGGCUUUACAUCACUUUCAAUCAUUAUUAUUACUAAACUCCUUCUAAAUGCACAGUUUUCAUUCCUCCCUCCACCCUACGUGUCUUAUUUAUCAAUGUUUAUAUAUGAUGCUUAUACAUGAAGAAUUUGAAGUGUACAGUGACUAACAACUUGUGUAACCAAUUACUCAUCAGUAAGUAUUUACAAAUCUACCAAGUGUCAAGCAGUGGAAACAAAGCGGACACACACACACACACACACACACACACACACACACACACACACUCACACACACACCUGUCUGUGUAGAACUUCCAUUCUAAUUAGCUAAGGGAUAGAAAAGAGAGGACCAGGGGGUAAAGGGUGGCUUGCUAUUAUAUUCUCUAAAAGUUCGUGUGUUGGAAGCUUAGUUUCCUUUGUGGUGAAGGUAUGAGGUGGCAGAAUUCUGAAGAGGAGCCAGCUAGUAGGCCACUGGGGGGCAGAGCUCCAGAAAUGACUACAGCAUCCUCUCAGGGAGAAGUCUGCGUAGGGUGUACCCUUCAGAGAAGCUGCAUUUGUACAUUUGGAGCUGAGUCUAAGAGACAAUAAUCUACCAAGAUGAUGAGUUAACAUAGAGAAGAGAACAAUUUCAAGGCUGAAACCUGUGCAUCAAAAUGCAAGGAAGGAUGUGGGAGGGAAAUGGCAUGGCAAAGCCAAUGAGGGUGAAGGAAAUGGGGAGGGUCAUGUUCUAAAAGUUCCCCUAGUAGGCCUACCUAGGGGACAGCAGGGGCCUAGCCAGGUGCUGCAGGGGGUCAAGGCGGAUGCAUAAGGGCUGACAGGUUUACCCAAGGCAGAGUCGGUGGUUGUGAUAAGAGAUGGGUGACCCUACUGCAUGAGCUGACAGAAACCACCUCAGGAAAGCGCAGGAGACAUGGAGCUAGAGAAGAAAGUGAAGGGGACUCUAUAGUUUUGCUAUAAAGGGAAAAAAAAGACUAAAGAAAGAAAAUCAGUCUACAGAUCCAGGAACUCUUGAUUUGGUGGAAUUUAAAAACAGAUGUCUAUGAACAUUGAAUAUAUUAGUCAUUCUAUAUCUGCAGACAUGCAAAGAGUCAAGGUGGGGUAUCCUUGUGACUGGUAAUUUCCCUUUUCAUGAACACAGUUAGCAACUAGGAGGGUGAGGGGAGGGAGGGAGUGAGGAGGGAG
rnacentral:lncRNA from 1 species